CCUUUUCCACUAACUAGUCUGCCGGUUCGAGGGAACUGGCAACUUCUUAGCGGGACUGACUGCGGUUAGCAGUCGGAAGUUGGAGGCAAUAACAGGUCUGUGAUGCCCUUAGAUGUUCUGGGCUGCACGCGCGCUACACUGACAAAGGCAACGAGUAUACCUUCACCGAGAGGUGUGGGAAAUCUUGUGAAACUUUGUCGUGCUGGGGAUAGAUCAUUGCAAUUAUUGGUCUUGAACGAGGAAUUCCUAGUAAGCGCAAGUCAUCAGCUUGCGUUGAUUACGUCCCUGCCCUUUGUACACACCGCCCGUCGCUACUACCGAUUGAAUGGCUUAGUGAGGCCUUUGGAUCUGGUUUAGACGCAAGCCUAGACUGUGAGAAAUUGGACAAACUUGGUCAUUUAGAGGAAGUAAAAGUCG
rnacentral:rRNA from 1 species